UUUCGGAACUCUGGACUGUACGCACGAUAGGUUUCACUUUUCCGAUGUCCGCCGACGCUAAUUUCUUUGCUUCGAAACCCUAGAUUCGAGCGAUGGAUGAAGACUUUUUCUAUUCGGGACUUCUAACGAAGUUUCCGUCCGCGUUGCCAGAUUUGUUUCGACGUUUCCAAUCUUUCUUCAGAAGGAAGUUUUCUCAUCCGACAUCAAUUGCAAAAAGUAGUUUUGCGGUAUAUUUUGAAGCAUACUGCGUUCAAGCCAUUUUCUCACUUAAAUGAACCCAAUGCAAGUAUCGUCCUUUCUUGGAUCGAUACUUAGAUUAAUUACAUAAUAUGACAACGUCAUAUUUGUUCUAAUUGUCUAACAAUUAUUCUUUAGCUCUGUUUCUACUCAUUUCUUGGUUUAUGGAUCAUUUUAUUUUGCUCAAAGUGAUUCAAAUUUAUAUUUUAUCAUUUCAUAAAGUUCCUCAUAAUUUUUGGGCUAAUAAUAUAUCACCCUUAUAUUUUUAUCUUAACUCUAUGAGUUAAAUCAUUCAGCGUCUAAAUUAAUCUGUACCGAUUAAUAAAUAUCUCAUCCUUUUUACUUGGCCUUUCUUGCUCCACGUCUUUCAUUUUGGCCAAUCCAUUCAUUUUACCACAUGUUUCUAUUUUAUUCAUUCCAAAUUUCUUUCCCUGGCAGAAUGCGCACACCGUAGUCCCUCUGUUUCUCUUAUUCACGUCUUUUUUCCCUCACCACUCUCUUUACUCUCAUUUUCAAUUGGUUUCUGCAGCAAUUUAUAAUCCUUGUUCCUUUCAUCUUGUUCUCAUCACCAACCUCAUCUCGUUCAUUUUCUUUGUGGCAGCGCCCACACACAACUGUGCCUUCUUCCUUCAUGAUCAAACCACCACCACCUCUAAGGCAUUUUCAUGGCGUCUGUCAGCCGGUUCGUGAUGAUUCGUUGUGCGGGAAAGACCCGGAGCGGAACGACUAUUACUGAAGCUUUCGACGAGGACCCGGACUUCAUGCCUGAUCGAGGGAGGGUCGAUGAUAGUAGUGUGGGGUAUGGGUGGUUAGAGUCUUUUGGAGUUGGUUGUUACUGUAAUAGCUCUGAUUCGUUUUGCUUUUGGGACAGGGUAGGUUCCCGAUGCAUGGCUUUUUGUGUGGUUCUCUUACGGAGGGAUCACAGUGAGUCAGUCGGACCAUAGGGGUCUUUGCUUAGGCCAUUUUGAGGCCGACUUUCUCCUAGUGGUUUGUAAUUAUACUUUUUCUCACUCACACUUCUGGAUCUGUAAAUAUUUGCCUACGGGCACACUACUUUGGAGUCACUGCGAGUGUGUGUGACGUGGAAGUGCAGCUGAGGCUGUACAUGUUUAUAUUUGAUAUAUAUUGGUUAGUUUAGUAGUUGAGUUUUGUCUUUA